AAAGGUGCAAGAGAUCCUUUAAUACCAACUAGCCUUUGCAGAUCAAAAGUUCACUAAAAGAUCUUUGUAGUUCACAAGCUAUUGGCAAGUGGGCAUUACCUGCUGUAUAAAUUGUAUUUUCCGAAUAAUGGCUUUCCACCUUAACAGGUUGCAAGGGGAGUCCCAGAGAGACAAGAGGUGAGGACAUGAAGAGGUGUAUUUCACUUCUGGCAGCUAGGACUGGAGUGUAAGGCUGAGCUGAUUCAGGUAUCACAGAUAUCAUAGAUAUCAGAGGUAAUCACAAAGUGAAAGAACUGCAGAGUAGGAAAAGUAAUCUAAGGGUUAGAGGCCGGCUGUCCGUAAAAAAGGGCAGUUGCUUUUAGGAUGGAAUGAUAAAACUGCUAAUUUUAAAUUCUUUGUAACAAUCCAGUCUCACCAUUUCCUGCAGUAUUACCACUGGACAUGGGGAACUGAUUAUACUCUUCCUGUUUUCAACCACUUAUUACAUAUUUAAAGACUAUCUCUGUGCCUACAGCUAGUCUACUCUUCUUUAGACUAAACAGUGUCAACUCUCACAGUCUUUCCUCAUAGACCUGUUCCAUAAACUUGAGGGUUUCUAGUUGCUUUUAUCUGUGUGCUCUUUCCAAGUCUUCUGCAUCAUGCUUCAAGUGUAGUACCCAAAGUGGACACACAACAGCAGCAGAGGCUUUGCUUGCGUCAAACAGAAGCCAUCUCACAUCUUACAGACAAACGAAUUUGAAAAGUCCUCCUUGUUUGUUUUUUCUUUUGUGAAACAGUAAAAUCUAUAUGCAUUAACUAGUUUCAGCUGAGAGGAUUCCGGAUAUUGGAUUGAUCCCUGCUAGUCCAUCUACACAGCCCCCACAGCUGACAAGAAGCUUGAGAGAAUUCUUGUUCCGCUGAGUUUCCAGGAAGUAAUUUGGAAAGCAGAAGGUAGAUGUUUUGAGGCAAAGGAGAGGAUAGAUUAUAAAAAUUUAAGAUUACCUAAGCAAAUACCAGGUCAGACAUAGCACUGAUCUGUCUCUGCUGGUAGCAUGAAGGAGACAGUAAGGCUGCAAGGAUGUUGAGAGAAAAGGAAAACAGAAAGAAAUAAAUCCAUUUCAAAAAUAUUGCUGUUGGUAGAAGUGAGUGAAAUCAGAUGCAACCCAGUGAACUUCAGACCCUGAAGUAAUGUUAUUUCUUUCACUUACUGAGUAAAGUGAGCAUGCCAGUGAAAAAAUUUCUGGCUUUAAAUCCACUUUGAAUGACUCAUGCAUAAUAAAAAUAAAUCUUGGUUGGGAGCAGACUUUUCCUGCUCCCAUUCCUUCUUCUUUUAAAGAUCUUCUCAGGAGUUUUGCUGGUCUUAAAUACAUUUCUUUGCUUCCUAGUUCCUGUCCCUUGUUCAGCAGUGCUUUCCCUUCAUCAUGAAGAGCUAUAACCAUGUGCUGUGAGUGUGUAUGAGCAAGGGGGCAUAACAUAGACUUCUGUUGCUAGAUACAGAUUUUUGAUACUAUCCAAGGUUCAAAACUGUAAAGAACAGGUGGCUGAAAGCACUCAAAGUCCUUAGAUAAGAGUUCUCACUCAUUCUGUUGCUUAAAAUGCUAGAAAAUUUGGAAAUAUUUAAUUUCUCCCAGUUGAGCGGGUAGACUUUGCUGAAACUGAGAAAUUUGGUCCAGUGCCUCUUGUGCUAAAAGUGGUGGCAAAUUUGUCACCAUUAUGUUCAGGCACCUUGCAAGCUCAUUUUCUGCUUUCCCAAUGGUCUGAUGUGUUUGGGAUGGCUGCAGUCCCUGUAUUUUUUCAGGAGUUUUCUUCCUACUCCAUGACCCAGCUGUUGUACAUCAGACUUGUUUUCCUUGUCUGCAGGCGUUUUAUCUCCUGGCAAUCUCUUCCCAGGAGAAAGCCAUUCCCAUCUCCGUGACUCUUCUUUCACCAGGUUGUAUCUGAUUUUUGCACACCUUGCUGAUAGGUGAAAAUCUUAUCAGCUGGCCCUGACAACCUUUCCUGUCCUAGGCUGCCUUGAGCUUGCCCUUAGGUCCCUGCAGUAACCAGAGCAAACACUGCACUGCAGAGUAGUGAGUGACCUUAGGAAGCACUCGGACAUUUGCAUAUUAUUGCAUACAUAAAAAGAAUAAUGAAUGUCGGUGGGAUGUGGAGUGGUGCGGAGCACUCUUAUCAACAGUCUCCACAAAAGCUCCUUCAUUUGUUUAUAAGGAACUGCAGACCAGAGGUGCUUGAAUUUGUAGACAGGAAGGGUGAGGGGGGAAAACACCUCCACUUGUUUUCUCCUUUGAACAACAACAUUUCUCUUAACCUUAACCAAAGAAGGUAGCGAAGCCACUUGGCAAACAGACUUGAGUGAAGUACCUCGGCUGGAAAUGUUGGCUUGUUUGUGUUAACACGCAGAGUUCUGCUCCGUGCGUGCCGAGGGGAGCGCGGGGAAGGCCUGCCCCACACUGUGCAGCCAUUCCCGCACCCUCGGCAGCCCUCACACACUGCAGCCUGCUGGCUUCGGCUGCCAUCUCCUCCUGCCUCCGACCCUGCUCUGCCCAGCACAGCCCCUCAAGAGGGGCCAGCACCAGCAGGACGGCAGGGCAGCUUCACUGCUCGGAAGGAUUAGCUGAGCCAUGGGCUGGGGGUGGCUGCGCGCUCGGAGAAGGCCAGGCCAAAGUACGGCUGUGGCACUGCAGGGUGCCCCGGCCGUGGGGGGAAUCGGAGCCUUGAGGCACAAGGGGCACUGACGCUUGAAAACGCUGCAUUUCCGUGAAGAACUGAGUUUCUAGGGACGAUAUUAAGAAAUGCAUCCCUGAAGAGAAACAUCAUAGAGGAGAGCCAGGCUUCAAUGUCAUCUGUAGAUAGAAGAUUGGGUGGAUUAUGGGUAUCUACUGGACACCAGGGCCCUCACAGUACUGGCACCAGGACUGAGUCAACUACCCUGAAAAAGUGGAGCUCUGAAGCCCUGAGUUGCCCCUUGCAACACCUCUGCUCCAAGAAUUUGAUUUAAUUUGAGUCAAUGAAAAACCAAAGGGAAUACACUGACCAGCCUCUGAACCAGCAAAGAUCCAUGGCACCCACUCCAGGGAAGGCUUAUAAGGAAAACCAGACACUGUAGGACUUGAUGCAUGUGGGAUAUGGGGAGGAGUCCCAUGUGCACAUCUCUAAUAAAAUAGCUGUGCUCAUGGGGCAUUUUGCUUUACAUUG